rnacentral:piRNA from 1 species
AGAUGAAAUCAGGACUUUAGCCUUAGC